AUUAGGUGAUACGAUGGGGGCUGAUCGUUUGAAGUGCGGAGAACGAGCUGAUUGGGCUACUUGCAUAAAUAAAACAUUAAUUAGUUAAUUUUAUUAUUAAUGAUUAGCUAAAAUAUUAAUUUAGAUGGUCUGACGAUUGCAUUUUUGUGCUCUUAUCACACCCCCCAACCAGCUUAUUGCUAGUCUCUAGCAAUUUGGUG
rnacentral:lncRNA from 1 species